rnacentral:rRNA from 1 species
GAUGAACGCUGGCGGCGUGCCUAAUACACGCAAGUCGAGCGAACAGACGAGGAGCUUGCUCCUCUGACGUUAGCGGCGGACGGGUGAGUAACACGUGGAUAACCUACCUAUAAGACUGGGAUAACUUCGGGAAACCGGAGCUAAUACCGGAUAAUAUAUUGAACCGCAUGGUUCAAUAGUGAAAGACGGUUUUGCUGUCACUUAUAGAUGGAUCCGCGCCGCAUUAGCUAGUUGGUAAGGUAACGGCUUACCAAGGCAACGAUGCGUAGCCGACCUGAGAGGGUGAUCGGCCACACUGGAACUGGGACACGGUCCAGACUCCUACGGGAGGCAGCAGUAGGGAAUCUUCCGCAAUGGGCGAAAGCCUGACGGAGCAACGCCGCGUGAGUGAUGAAGGUCUUCGGAUCGUAAAACUCUGUUAUUAGGGAAGAACAAAUGUGUAAGUAACUAUGCACGUCUUGACGGUACCUAAUCAGAAAGCCACGGCUAACUACGUGCCAGCCGCCGCCGUAA